AUUGCACGCUGGCGGCAGGCUUAACACAUGCAAGUCGAGCGAGCGGCGGACGGGUGAGUAAUGUCUGGGAAACUGCCUGAUGGAGGGGGCUAACUACUGGAAACGGUAGCUAAUACCGCAUACCAUCAGAUGUGCCCAGAUGGGAUUAGCUAGGAGGUGGGGUAAUGGCUCACCUAGGCGACGAUCCCUAGCUGGUCUGAGAGGAUGACCAGCCACACUGGAAUUGGGACACGGUCCAGACUCCUACGGGAGGCAGCAGUGGGGAAUAUUGCACAAUGGGGGCAAGCCUGAUGCAGCCAUGCCGCGUGUGUGAAGAGGGCCUUCGGGUUGUAAAGCACCUUCAGCGAGGAGGCGGUACUCGCAGAAGAAGCACCGGCUAACUCCGUGCCAGCAGCCGCGGUAAUUC
rnacentral:rRNA from 1 species